rnacentral:rRNA from 1 species
AGAGUUUGAUCCUGGCUCAGGAUAAACGCUGGCGGCGUGCAUAACACAUGCAAGUCGAACGAUGAAACUUAGAUGAUUUCUUCGGAAUGAACUUAAGUGGAUUAGUGGCGAACGGGUGAGUAACACGUGAGUAACCUGCCUUACACAAGGGGAUAGCCUCUGGAAACGGAGAAUAAUACCCUAUAAAGUCUAAUCAGCACAUGCUGGAAAGACCAAAGAUUUAUCGGUGUAAGAUGGACUUGCGUCUGAUUAGCUAGUUGGUGAGAUAAAAGCUCACCAAGGCGACGAUCAGUAGCCGGCUUGAGAGAGUGUACGGCCACAUUGGGACUGAGACACGGCCCAAACUCCUACGGGAGGCAGCAGUGGGGAAUUUUGCACAAUGGGGGAAACCCUGAUGCAGCGACGCCGCGUGAUUUAGAAGGCCUUCGGGUUGUAAAAAUCUUUUUUACGGGAUGAAAAUGACAGUACCGUAAGAAUAAGGUCCGGCUAAAUACGUGCCAGCAGCCGCGGUAAUACGUAUGGACCGAGCGUUGUCCGGAAUCAUUGGGCGUAAAGGGUACGUAGGCGGCCUAGUAAGUUAGAAGUGAAAGAAUAUAGCUCAACUAUAUAAAGCUUUUAAAACUGUUAGGCUUGAGAGAUGAAAGGGAAAGUGGAAUUCCUAGUGUAGCGGUGAAAUGCGCAGAUAUUAGGAAGAAUACCGGUGGCGAAGGCGACUUUCUGGUCAUCAUCUGACGCUGAGGUACGAAAGCGUGGGUAGCAAACAGGAUUAGAUACCCUGGUAGUCCACGCUGUAAACGAUGAGUGUUAGGUUCUUGGAAUAAUCUGGGAGCCGCAGCUAACGCAUUAAACACUCCGCCUGGGGAGUACGCACGCAAGUGUGAAACUCAAAGGAAUUGACGGGGACCCGCACAAGCAGCGGAGCAUGUGGUUUAAUUCGACGCAACGCGAAGAACCUUACCAAGUCUUGACAUAAUACGGAGGGAAUUAGAGAUAAUUUCUUACCACUUCGGUGGGCUGUAUUACAGGUGGUGCAUGGUUGUCGUCAGCUCGUGUCGUGAGAUGUUGGGUUAA